rnacentral:rRNA from 1 species
GAUCCUGGCUCAGGAUGAACGCUGGCGGCGUGCUUAACACAUGCAAGUCGAGCGAAGCGCUUAAGUUUGAUUCUUUGGAUGAAGACUUUUGUGACUGAGCGGCGGACGGGUGAGUAACGCGUGGGUAACCUGCCUCAUACAGGGGGAUAACGGUUAGAAAUGACUGCUAAUACCGCAUAAGACCACGGUACCGCAUGGUGCAGUGGUAAAAACUCCGGUGGUAUGAGAUGGACCCGCGU